rnacentral:SRP_RNA from 1 species
CCUGGGAGGAAAGGGGGCCUGUUAGCAGCAUAGGAUUGAGGAGUUGGAAGGGACCUUUAAGACAGCUGGUCAUUAUGCCGACCGGGUGUCCGCACUAAGUUCGGUAUUAAUAUGGUGACCUCCUGGGAGCAGGAGGCCAUCAGGUUGCCUAAGGAUGGGAGAACUGGCCCAGGUUACAAAGGGACCAGGUCAGGACUCCCGCACCAAUUGGUAGUGGGACUGUUCCUGGGCAAUAUAGCAAGAUCUUGGUUCUUAAAAGUAAUAAU